UUUACCAUGUUGGCCAGGCUGUUCAAACUCCUGACCUCAGGUGAUCGGCUCACCUCGGCCUCCCAAAGUGUUAGGAUUACAGGCAUGAGCCUACGCCCAGCCAGAAAUUUUUUUUUUUGAGAUGGGGUCUCACUCUGUUGCCAGGCUGGAGUGCAGUGGCGCGAUCUCAGCUCAUAGCAACUUCUGCCUCCUGGGUUCAGGCAAUUCUUCUCCUCCCUCAGCCUCCUGAGUAGCUGGGAUUACAGGCACAUGCCACCAUGCCCAGCUAAUUUUUGUAUUUUUAGUAGAGAUGGGGUUUUACCAUGUUGCCCAGGCUGGUCUCAAACUCCUGACCUCAAACGAUCUGUCCAUCUCAGUCUCCCAAAGUGCUGAGAUUACA
rnacentral:lncRNA from 1 species